GACGAACGCUGGCGGCGUGCUUAUAACAUGCAAGUCGAACGGAGUGGCGAACGGGUGAGUAACACGUGGGUGCCCUGCCCUGUAGUUCGGGAAAAGCCUGGGAAACUGGGUGUAAUACCGGUUAGUGUGGGAUGGGCCCGCGGCCUAUCAGCUGGUGGGUGGGGUGAUGGACUACCACGGCGGCGACGGGUAGCCGGCCUGAGCGGGUGGACGGCCACAUUGGGACUGAGACACGGCCCAGACUCCUACGGGAGGCAGCGGUGGGGAAUAUUGCACAAUGGGCGGAAGCCUGAUGCAGCGACGCAGCGUGGGGGAUGACGGCCUUCGGGUUGUAAACUCCUUUCACCAGCGACGCGGUAGAUGGAGAAGAAGCACCGGCUAACUACGUGCCAGCAGCCGCGGUAAUUC
rnacentral:rRNA from 1 species